rnacentral:rRNA from 1 species
UUUGUUAACAAUGUCUCCGUUGGUGAACCAGCGGAGGGAUCAUUACCGAGUUAUCCAACUCCCAACCCCUGUGAAUUAUACCUUUAAUUGUUGCUUCGGCGGGACUUCGCGCCCGCCGGGGACCCAAACCUUCUGAAUUUUUUAAUAAGUAUCUUCUGAGUGGUUAAAAAAAAUGAAUCAAAACUUUCAACAACGGAUCUCUUGGUUCUGGCAUCGAUGAAGAACGCAGCGAAAUGCGAUAAGUAAUGUGAAUUGCAGAAUUCAGUGAAUCAUCGAAUCUUUGAACGCACAUUGCGCCCGUCAGUAUUCUGGCGGGCAUGCCUGUUCGAGCGUCAUUACGCCCCUCAAGUCCCCUGUGGACUUGGUGUUGGGGAUCGGCGAGGCUGGUUUUCCAGCACAGCCGUCCCUUAAAUUGAUUGGCGGUCUCGCCGCGGCCCUCCUCUGCGCAGUAGUAAAACACUCGCAACAGGAGCCCGGCGCGGUCCACUGCCGUAAAACCCCCCAACUUUUUAUAGUUGACCUCGAAUCAGGUAGGACUACCCGCUGAACUUAAGCAUA